rnacentral:lncRNA from 1 species
CAAUCAUGGAAGUGCAAGCGUAGCAAUGAAGCACCCAUACGACGCUCUUUCAGUACUGAAGCCUCCACAACACUUUUGAUGGUGCUCAAAGCUUUGGGGCACGAAUAAUCAUAGUAAUUAGGUGACAAUUGUGAGAAAGCUGAGGUUGCAAUAGAUGCAAACACUAAGGCAUGGAGAACAACAAAGAAAUACCCACGUGAUGCCAUUCUAUUACUAUGCAAUCAAUAACUGAUCAAUAUGCAAUAUAGUACUAUAGUUAGAUGGCAAUAUCGCCUACAGGGAAAUGAUAAAGCUAUAUUAUGUAUUUCUAUUAUUUGGAUUGCUAUUGCCACAUUGCUGUAUUUAUAGAGACUCUGAGACGCGUGCUGUGGAAAAAAAUACCAUUUUUUAUUGUUGGUCCAUAGAAAAAUAUACCAAUUAACUGCACCGUAUCAUACCAAGUGAUGUGUGGACUGAGCCCAUGAAAAAGACCAUUUCACCUCAGAAAGGUUCUAUAUUAGGUAUCAUUAAAGGAAUCAAGAAAUCCUAAAAAAACAAUUAUUUAGUGAUUGAUUUAGUCCACUGAGGUUGUUAAUUAAUUGAUAUAUGUACGCCAACCACAGCGAAUAAUGAUAAAUUAAUGAUGUAAAUGGACAAUAUACAUGCAUGGGAUACAUAUCCUUUUCGACUAAAUCAAUUCCGAGUAUUAUAUGUUGUAUAUUCACAGCGUAAGCAAUUACGAAUCCUAGUUAUCAAUCAGGUUAACCUUUUUUCUUCUUCUUCUUCUGAAUUAUUAAUCAAGUCAACUAGUUGUAGUCAUUUUUAUUGUAAGCAGAUAAAAGUUUCAAAAUGAUACACAUGGACAAUGAAGGUAAAUUAAAUUCUACAAGUUUCUGUCAAUAUAAUUUAAUCUUCAAAUUAGUCAACCUCAAGAAAAAUUAAUAUAAAUUUAAUCUAGUAAUAAAUUACACCGCCUUAAUUUUUGAGUUUUUAUUUUAAUAAUUAAUUAUCUUCGUAAUUAAUUUAUUAACUUUGAUCAUGAAAAAUUUAGUUUCUAAAUCUAAUCAUUCUCAUAACAAAAGGACUAUUUUGUCUUAUUCAUACAAAAUUUAAGAGAUCAAUAACAUAUGUUGCCUGUUUUGAGAUGGAAUUGGAUUUUUCCUUCAAUGAUGCAUGGCUGAUGAUUUAUAAUUACUCUUCUUGCGUGACAUGCUUUUUGAACUUUCAAAAAGAAACUAACAUGUUUUUUUUUUUAAAAAGGUAAUAUGCCACAUUUAAUUCAUAUUGUUAAAUAAUCCAAUUUAACAAUUAUUAUUGUUGACUUAGUUAUGUUCUUAGUUUCUCAAAUUAGAGGGUCAGUUUUUAUUUAGUCCUCUAAAUAAAGUUUUGCAUUUUUUACUCCAUCAAAUUAAAAAAGAUGUUUAUUUAGUUCCUUCUCUCACAUAAAAAUUUAUAUUUUUUAGUUCCUCAAAAUUUGACAAAGUAAUUAAAAGAAGAUUUUUUUUUUAAAAAAAAAAAGUUAAGAUGCUAAAAAAAUAUAAAUUUUUAUUUAGAAAAAUAGGCUCCCUAAUUUCAGGGCCUAAAAAUAAAAUCAAACGUAUUUUAUCAUUACUAGAUCAGAAGCUAUUGUUUAUUUUUUAUUUUUAAAUUCAAUGAAAUAAUUUAUUAAAAUCAAAACAGAUCGUACGUCCGAACCGGUUCAACCAAAAAUUGGAUACAUGGUUGAUCCUGUCAAGGUUGGACUGGAUAUGUCUUCGUCAAACCCUGGUGAUAUCAUUGGAGGUACCUUAUUAAAAGUACCUGAGAAACUGUACCUAUAGAAUUUAAUUAGAAAAUGAAGAAAAAGUAUUUUCAUAUUACUAGCAAUAUAUAUUAUUAUUGCCAUUUUGAUUGUCAUUGUUCUUAUUGUCAUUAUUGUCAUGGUUACGUAGUUAUCUAAGACUAGACUUUCUACAAAACCCAAAUGACUUUAUAAAAUAAAACAAUAACAUGACAUAUCAUCAUGCUUAUGAUAAUUUUUUCAAUCAUUAGUUACUUUUCUUAAUUUUCAUAUAGGUAAAUCUAAUAGGAUAAAUUUUGUCUUGAAUAAAUAAAAAAGUUUCAAAAAGUGUCCGGAAAUUAAAAAUGAUAAUUAAUUUGAAAGGACAAAUGUGUAUCUAUCAGUUAAACAAGGAUGAUGACCAUUUUGGGAGUUUUAAAAAUUAGCAGAAUAAUUUAGAUAAAAAAUUAAGUUAAGAAACCGUUCUUACAUUUUAAGCUUCAAUUAAUUAUGAUAGAGUUUUGUAGUAAUUUAUAGUGAUAUUUAAUGUUUUUUUUUUUACAAAAAUCACGGAUGUAAAAUUAAUUUUUAUUAGAGAUAACUCUAAACUUAUGUUAUUUUUGUUGUUUCACAUUGGACUUGGAUUAUUAUUUAUUUAUAUUUAUUGUUUUGAUAUUAUUCACCACACGCGCUAGCUCUAGAUAUCUGAGUUAAAUAACACUAAAAAAUUGAGUUUGAGUCUAAAUCAACUUGUUUUUGAAUCCAAGGUGUUAAAUGCAUCAACAAGUAUACAACAAAGGUUUUUAUGAAGUGAUUUUGUUAGGGUCCUGUACUACGGAAAAUAAAAUUGCAAAGAUAAAUGGGAUAAAAUUCUGUUCUGCCUUCAUUAUUUAUACAAAGAUUUCUGCACCAAAAAUUAUAACAAACUUUGGCUCGUAGUGCUAACAGCAUGUAUUUUCUUUUAUUAUAAUAACUAACUAAAUGGGAGGGAUAGUGAAAAUAGGCAGUGGGCAUAACAGAAUAGAUUUUACUGCUUGCUUAACAACCUCAAACACAGUCAUUGAAGCGUGUGGGUUUUCUGGUAUUCCUUUUGGACUUGCUAUUGUCCAAUUCCUUGUUGCUCUUGUAGUCUUCCUGUUCUUGGAUAUCUGAAUUGCUAUCAUCACCCCCCUCAACCAAACCAACCUUGUCCCCAAGGUUGUAAGACUGGCGUAGUGUAUCCAAUGGUUCCUGUAUAGUGUCCUCUUGUGCCAGGCCAUCCCAUUGGACUAGAACAAGCUUAGUUGGUGGACAAGAUGAGGAAUCCCAUUUCCAAUCCAAAAUAUGAAGAGGCUCAAUGACUGGAUGGUUCUCAGUGCUAGUCGGAGGAAGAACGACAGGAUAAGUGGGUGGCGGUCCGUGAUGGAGUUUUAAUAGUGAGAUAUGAAUCGUGGGGGUGAAUCUUAGAAGAAGAUAGUAACUGGAGUUUGUACGCGACAUGGCCCACGCGUUCCAGGAAAGGACCGUAAAAUCUUUUGUUCAACUUUGUGUAAGCUGGCGCUAUUGAUGUUUGGCGAUACGGUCUUAAGCACACAUACACCCAGUCGCCUACGGCGAAUUGGCGAUGAGCAUCCGCCAUAGUUUUCAUGGUAGUUUGGGCUUUGAGCAGGUGACGGUGGUGAACAACGAGGAUCGCGGUGCGUGUUGCUAGCAAAGAAUCUACAACUUCGAUUGUAUCACCCAAGAUGUAAUGUGGGAUUGACGGCGGUGGUUUGCCGUAUAUUUCCUCGUAAGGAGAGAUGCCUGUUCCAGAAUGGGUGGAUGUAUUAUAUGACCAUUCUGCCAGUGAUAAGAAGUGAUACCAUUGGGAUGGCCUGUCAUGAAUAAAGACACAAAGAUAUUGGUCCAAGAUGAGAUUCAUGACCUUUGUUUGACUGUCCGUUUGUGGGUGAUAGGCAGUGCUCAUCCGAAGCUUGGUUCCAUUGAGGCGAAAAAGCUCCUCCAAAAUUUGUUGAUAAACAAUGAAUCUCGGUCUGAACCUAGGCUUCGUGGGAAGCAAUGGUGCUUACAAACUAUGUCAAGAAAUAAGAGAACAGUCUUGUAAGCGGUAUUGUGUGGCGGCAGUGAGAGGGCGGUAGCCCGGUGAUGAAGUCCAAAGAAACAUCUUCCCAGAUGACUAAAGGAAUAGGCAAGAGCUGGAGGAGACCUGUCGGCUUCUUAGUGUUAUAUUUUGCUUGUUGACAAACAAGACACUAGGAGAUAAAGCAACAAAAAUCUUCAAGGAUGCGUGGCCAAUCAAAGUUCUGCUGCAGGUGGCGGAAAGUCUUAGCGACACCCAUAUGUCCUCUAAUUGGGGAAGAGUGAAACUCCUGCAAUAGUAAGCUAGCAAAAUGUGUUGCGAACGACAACCAUAUCCUUCCAUUUCGAAAGAGAAGCUCGUGAUAAACCUUGAGUUCAGGAUGUUUGGCGGGAUUUUGACGAACCUCAUCCAAUAGUGUUGUGUAUUGGGUGUCUUUUAAAAGAGUAUCCCGGAAUUGAUCCAAGAAGACAAACAUAGGCACUGAUAGGGAGUAAAAUUGUGCUUCAUCCGGUGCCGCAAUUCGGGAUAAUGCAUCAGCCACGAUAUUCUGAGAUCUUGACUUGUACUGUAUAACAUAAUCAUAUCCCAAUAAUUUAGACAAAUAAAUUUGCUAGUCAAGACUUUGAAUAGCUUGGGACAUAAGCUUUUUGAGGCUUCGAUGUUCCGUCAAAAUGGUAAAUGAAUGGCCUAGUAGGUAGUGCCGCCAUUUUCAAAUCGUGGUGGUAAUGGCGUGAUGUUGUCAGACAUAAGCUGAGGCAACAUGCAAAUGCGAGCAAAGCAUUUUGCUACAAUAAGCAAUUGGGUGAGAAUUCUGUUGAAGGACUGUGCUUAUAGCUCGUGAUGAGCCGUCUGUCUUUAUAGUAAAAGGGGCAGAAAAGUCCGGUGAAACCAGAACAGGGGCCUCCUUCAUCUUCCGUUUCAACUUUUCGAAGGUUGUUUGGGCUUUGUCAAACCAUUGGAACUUGUCCUUACGAAGCAAUGAAGUAAGUGGAGCAACGAGCACGGCAUAAGCCUUAAUAAAACGCUAGUAGAAGCCAGUUAAUCCCAAGAAUCCACGCAGGGCAGAAGGAGUAGACAGGGCUGGCUAGGUAAGCCUAGCCUGGAUUUUGUUGGGAUCCGGAGCCACCCAGUGAAUGGAGACUAUGUGGCCAAGAUAAUGUAACCUCUGUUGAGCAAAGAGGAAUUUGGAUUGGCGUAAGAGAAAUUAUGUCUGUGAUAGUGUCGUUAGAACUUGCUUCAAGUGUUGGGCAUGCGACUACAAACAGGGGUUGUAUAUAAGGAUAUCAUCGAAAAAAAUGGCGACAAACAUCUGAAGAAAAGGAUGAAGGGUGUCGUUCAUAGUGGCCUAGAAUGUUGAUGGUGCAUUGCAGAGACCAAAUGGCAUGACCUUGAAUUCAUAGUGGCCAUGGUGAGUUUUGAAGCCUGUCUUAUAGAUAUCGGAAUCCACCAUUUGUAUCUAGUGAAAGCCCCGUCUGAGGUCUAACUUGGAAAAUUAAGAUGUGUGGCUCAAUUCAUCCAAUAAUUCCUCAAUUAUGGGCAUGGGAAAAUGAUCUUUGAUCGUUAUGGCUUUCAAGGCCCUGUAAUCGACACAGCAGCGCCAACUGCCGUCUUUCUGCUUGACAAGUAGUAUCGGAGAAGAAAAAGGGCUAUGACUGGGUAAUAUCAGUCCAGCAUUGAGCAUCGAGGCAACUUGUGUUUCGAUUUCAAUUUUUUGGAAAUAUGGGUAACGGUAGGGUUUGACGUUGACUGGGUUGGUGUUAGGGGUGAGGUGGAUAUGGUGUUAGAUUGUGCAAGAGGGUGGUAGGUGGGUUGGUUCAUGGAAGAUUUCUGGAAAUUGGGUGAUGAUGGAGGUUAUCUGGGGAGGUGUUGGUGUCUGGUGGGGGUGUGAUGGGGAAGAGGAGAUAUUGGGCUGGGAUAGUGAUGUGGUGAGGGCAAAAGAGUAGAAAUGCUUUGUGUUUGAGUACAUCGAUUUAAUUGUUGGGCUGAAAUGGAAGUUGUGUCCAAAAAGCAUUCGCGAUAAGUGUUAUUGGUUGACCUGAAAGGAAAAAUGACAUCGUUAGCGCCUUAUAGUUUGUGGUGGCGGGCCCUAAUUAUUUAACCAUUGAACGCCCAAGACAAUGUCUGCACCACUAAUGGGCAAUUGGAAGAGGUCAGUGACAAGGGCAAUUGCUGGGAACUAGUGGUGCAGUCCAAGAUGUAGUCGUCAUCGACCAUAACACGCAGGGUGUCUGAAGGAGACGCAAGAAAGUAAAGAAAGUGAGUAACGUGAGACUGGAUAAAAUUGUGAGUACUACCCUCGUCCACUAGAAUAACGAGGUGAUGCUGGUGAGGGAGAUCAUAUUGGCGAAAGGUGUCAGGCGUUACAGUGCCAUCUAUAGCAUGCAAGCUAAUUUGUGGAAUUGGGUAACGGUCGAGGUCUAGAUCUAGAGGGUCGAAGUUGUCCGAGGGUAAGGAAGGGGCGUCAAGACGUGAUGCGAAGGGUUCGAUAUCCUCAUCGGCAAUUAGAAGGUGCAAUCGAGGUUUACAAUGAUGCCCAGGUAUCCAUUUGUCAUCACAAUGAUAAAAGCGGCCAUGGUCACGCCGAAGAGCCAUUUCUCCGGAGGUGAGACGUUCGAAGGGGAUUUUUGGGGCUAGGGUUGUGUUUGGUUUGAGAAAAGGAGAGUUGGGGUUUGGGGGUGCUUGGUAACGAGGUGAUGGUGGGGAGUAAUAGUUUUGAUGGUGGCCAAGGAGUUUGGUUUCCUGGAGCUUGGCCAGGGCUGCGGCUUGUGUCAACGAAGAGGGUUGAAGGGCUAGCUUGCACUAUGUGACACAAGUCUAGGGUUAAACCGGAGACGAAACAACUUAAAAGAAAAGAUGGGGCAAGGCCUACAAUUCUAUAGGCAAGGCGUUCGAACUCCGUAAGGUAAUCAUUGACGAAGCCUUGCUGUUGUAGUUUGAACAAGGUGCUGGAAGGAUCAUCGUAAUAUGCAGGGGCAAAGCGCGACUCAAGAGCUUUGAGCAUGCCUGUCCAAGAUGUGAGAAAACCAUUCCUUGACAUCCAUUGGUACUAGCACAAUGCCGGACCCUCCAUGUAAAAAGAGGCGUCCGUAAGGAGUUCGUGGUCUGGGAUCCCUUGGUAGUUGAAGAACUGCGAAGCUUUGAAGAUCAAACCGAUGGGAUCGCAUCCAUCAAAACAAGGGACGUUCAGUUUCAUAUAGGGCCACGAAGAGGAUGGUGAAGCUGCUAUUGGAGAGGAAGGAGGAGAAAAAGGAACGAUGGUUGUAGCAGCUAAACGUUCGAGAAUAGAAUCAAACUUAGCGUUCGUGGUGUCUUGGAUUUGUGCAAGGUUUUAUGUGAGAGUAAACUGGCCCUAGGUCAGGCAAGUGACCGCCUUUUCCAAUCGGUCAAUGACGGCCUGCUUGGUAUUAUGUUCUGAGGGUGACAUAGGGGCAAGUCAGACCAGUUGUUAGGGUCCUGUACUACAGGGAAUAAAACUGCAAAGAUAGAUGGGGUAAAAUUCUGUUCUGCCUUCAUUAUCAUUCAUACUCCCUUAUUUAUAUAAAGAUUGUUGCACCAAAAGUUAUAACAAACUUUGGCUCUUAGUGCUAAUAGAUUCAUAACAACAUGUAUUUUCUUUUAUUAUAAUAACUAACUAAAUGGGAGGGAUAGUGGAAAUAGGUAGUUGGCAUAGCAGAAUAGAUUUUAGUGCUUGCUUAAUAGCCUCAAACAAUGUCAUUGAAGCGUGUGGGUUUUCUCGUAUUCCUUCUGGGCUUGCUAUGCUCCAAAUCCAUGAUGCUCUUGUGCUCUUCUUGUUCCUGAAUAUCUGAAUUGCUAUCAGAUUUGGGGGAGUCAAAUAAAAUUUGUUGGGUCAAUUGGGAAUCUGGAUGCCUCCCAAAUUCAGAAGGGGACCUUGGGAGCAAAGAACGUGUAGUGAUUCAAUAUAAAUUUGCUUGCAAAGUGGUGGUGGCGGUUUCUGACAUACUCAAAUGCAACUUGCUGGUACCCUCUUCUCAGUUUCAGAUAUGGUCGCAUUAAUUCUGAAAUGUGUAGCCCCUCUUCUAUUUGACAAACAUCAAAUUGGUGGAAGGAUAUUAUGGCUAUUGACUUGAAUAGUAGCUAGUUCUCUCAAGGUGUAAUCCGGAAAAUUAGAGAUUGGGGCAGUUUUUGGAAGGAUAGAUGGGUGGGGGGAUUUCAAUCUAAAAACAAUUUUUGUAACAUUAUAUCAAAUUGCAAAUAAUACAGACUGUUUGGGGGCUGAUAUGGUUGGCAAUGGGUUUGGGAUUAGAGGUGACGCCAAGGAUAAAAAGAGCUAAAUCUUAUAUUUUAGGUUCAUCAACAAAAAAACAUUAUUAUUUUUAUAAAGGAAAAAAGUAACAUAUAAUUCUUUCUUUUAAAGUAUUUUUUUUCUUUUAAAUUUACUUUAGACUCCUCUCUUGUUGGGUCAUGGGAGGAGGAUAUUGUUGUUCAACUGAGACAACUUCUAUCUUCAGUCAAGUUGAGUGGGAUAGGCUAGACUCUUGAUCAUCGGAACGGAAUAAUACUAGUUCUUUCAUGGUGUUAUCUGCUUAUUCAUUGAUUCGCGCUGGGGUGAAUGCUUUAUAAUCAGAUACAUCCAACAGAGUUAUAUUCUCAUGAGGGAAGCAGAUGAAAAAAUUCAAAAGUAUUAAUUAUUUGGCAUGCGACGUGCUGUGGGUUCAAAGAAACAAUGUUAUUUUCAAAAAUGGUGUUCCAGAUGUUCCUAUAGUGUCCUUUUUCACGCUCAGAGUUUGUUAUGGUCUUGGUUCAGGUAUAAGGGAGGGACCUUGCUCGAGUGGGAUUUUGUUGGCAAACUGGUCUUCCAAUCCGUUGGAGUGCCUAUAACAAUCUGGAUAAUUCUGGUUUUGAUUGUAUUUGCUCCUAUACAGAGAGCUUUUGCGUUUCUUUUGCGUGCUUAGUUUGUAAUUUUCGUUCUGGUGUGGUCACACUUCAUGGCCAAUAACCUUUAAUAAAAAAAAAUUGCUGUUAAAAAAAACAGCUUGUAAGAAGAUGAGAGUUGUUCCUCCUCUUAUAAACUUUCAAUUCAUGUGGUUAUUCAUUACUUGAUGUGAUAUCUCUAACAAAAUGAGUGUUUUAUACAUUAUAAAAAAACUCAUGGUCCAAUAAAUUGUACCUUUUUAGAAUCAAUACAAAAGGAAUUUGAAAACAAAAAAAUUUAUGGCAAAGAAUUCAUACCAUUACAUGUAUAAAUAAUAAAUUCUUAAUUGUGCACCACUCAAGAAUUAUUCUGUAUGUAUAAUGCAUACUUGUUGCAUAAUUUAUGCAAUGAAUUAGUUCACAUUCCUGCAGUUAACCCGAAUUUCACCUUGAUUCCCAGUGAGGGACUGAAUAUUUCCCAUCUUAAUCAUCGAGUUCGCAAAGUCCUCGUAGAAAUCUUCGGUAUCAUCGCUGUACUCUUUGACCAGUUCAUCAGUAGAACCACCAUUGAAGAGUUCUUGAUCAGAGUGAAGAAGCCCUUUCUUUUGAACCAAAUUAGAGUAAUAAUUUAUGUCAAAUUUUGCCGCUGUUGAGUCCAAAGGAGAAAGGUUGGAGUCACCACCGUUUGUAGGGCAAAUGUAUUUAAGUUGUUGUGCAAAGUGGGGAUCGAUGUUGGAGUCAUUGUAGAUAUGGUCCUUAAAUGUAACACAACGUGCAAAUCCAAUGCUGUGGCCUCCAGAAAGAACAACAAGGUCCUUCUCAUCAAGACCAUGAUUCUUGAAGUUGGUGAUGAGUUCAGAUAGGCUGAAAAAUGGUGCUGGAAUGCUUGCAUCUGCUGCUUCACGACUUGCUGUAGUAGAGUCUCUUCUGCCAAGUCUCACCUUCCAUGAUGGUCCCCCUAACUGCAUGGAGCAUAUGCACAUAAUUAAUUCUUGUUCACAACUAGGUUCAUUCAUUUUUUAUAUAGAGAUGACAGUAUAGUGUUGUUCAGCUAGAAUAUUUAGUAAUUAUUUAUACGAAUUUUGAGGAAGAGAAAUUGUAUUUAAACAAUUUUUUAUAUAAAGGAUUUUGAAUAAUAAAGAGAAAUAAAAUAAGAAAUAAGGGAUAUAUAAUAAAAUAAUUUAUGUAAUAAAAAACACAGAUUAUAUGGUCUAAAGUGUUGUAAAAAUUCGUUAUACAGAUAAAUAUAAGUCUUUGAAAGUUAACUAAUAAAAAUCAUUUUGUAUUUCUCAAAUUUCGUAGUAAUAUGGCCAUCACAAUUACCCUACCCUACACUUGCUCUGAACGUUACAUAUUUAUGUGGGUCGGUUAAAAAUCCUCCGGUUUACUUUUAUACUAUUCGAACUGAGUCCUUGACUCCCUGGAUAAUUAAUAAAGUUUAUAUUACUUUUUAGUAACAUACAUUUAUUUGACUUUUAUGCAGUCAAAGUUCUAUAAAAAUUGCAUUGCAUCAUCUUAUGAUCUCUGGUAUAUUUGACAUCGUGAUUAAUAAAAAAUUCGCUAUGGACUAAUACAAUUCAUAACAUUAAGCAUAAUUUCUCAUAUUUAUAUAUAUAUAUAUAUAUAUAUAUAUAUAUAUAUAUAUAUAUAUAUAUAUAUAUAUAUAUAUAUAUAUAUAUAUAUAUAUAUAUAUAUAUAUAUAUAUAUAUAUAUAUAUAUAUAUAUACACGAUAAACAUUUAACGCAUAUCAUUUUGGGUUAUAAUUAGCUAUAUUCUAGUAUUACAAUUUUGAAGCUACAUUACAGUAUUAUUACUCACCGCAACAACUGAAUCACGAGCUGCAACAGCCAAUAUGUCUGCGCAAGAAACAACUGGUUUUCCACAUGCUUCGUCCACAGCUUUCUUUAUGUCAUCCACCACUUCAAAUCCUCUAGCAGAUUGCAAAUUAGCAGCUGCAUUCUUUUCGCUGUCAAUGGAGGAUGUGGAGUCUAGAAGAAUUGAACCAUCACAACCCUGAAUCAUCGUCACAAAACCAAGUCAUUAAUUAGCCUCACAUUUUCACAUCAUCUAAAAAUUAAUCCCCACAUUUUAAAUAAUGGGGUCUUUAAGGUAAUAUAUACAUUCAUUAAUCCGUAUGAAUUUAUUUUUUUAGACUAAAGAGUAUUUUGUGUCACAUACUGAGACUACUUGUUUUCGAAAAAUCUAAAGGCAUUAAAAAAUGAGUAAUUCCUUGCUAACUUGAUUUUUUUUCUCAUAUAUAAAAGUCAGGAUUUGAAUUCCAUGACCACAUUUAAUUUGUAAGGAAUCAGCUUAUCAUCAUCACUCAAAAUAACUACUUGUUAUCAUAUUAACAUGUGUGUAUACAUGUACACGUGCAUGUGUAUAUAUGUGUAUGCAUAUGCCCACAAGCGUAGAAUGUCUUACAUUAACAAAACAAUCAUGGAAGUGCAAGCGUAGCAAUGAAGCACCCAUACGACGCUCUUUCUGCACAGAAGCCUCCACAACACUUUUGAUGGUGCUCAAAGCUUUAGGGCACGAAUAAUCAUAGUAAUUAGGUGACAAUUGUGAGAAAGCUGAGGUUGCAAUAGAUGCAAACACUAAGGCAUGGAGAACAACAAAGAAAUACCCACGUGAUGCCAUUCUAUUACUAUGCAAUCAAUAACUGAUCAAUAUGCAAUA